UACGUAGGGACCGAGCGUUGUCCGGAUUCAUUGGGCGUAAAGAGCUCGUAGGCGGCUUGUCGCGUCGGAUGUGAAAGCCCGGGGCUUAACCCCGGGUCUGCAUUCGAUACGGGCAGGCUAGAGUUCGGUAGGGGAGAUCGGAAUUCCUGGUGUAGCGGUGGAAAUGCGCAGAUAUCAGGAGGAACACCGGUGGCGAAGGCGGAUCUCUGGGCCGAUACUGACGCUGAGGAGCGAAAGCGUGGGGAGCGAACAGG
rnacentral:rRNA from 1 species